ACCAGCUGCAGUCCAACAGUGGACCGUCCUUAUGCUGAGCUUGAGAUGGCUCAGAAGCUUCAAGACGGCAUUUUUCACUUGACCUCACCUGAAGAGCCCAUUUUGAGUCCAGAUGAUUCCAGACCUUUUGGUGUCUCGCAACGUCAUCAGGUAGGUUUGGUAGGGGAUGCGACUCGUGGGACAUUGGUGACCGGCAAAAACGGAAAGAGGACAAGGGACAGUGAUUCUGAUGACGAGCCCCCAGCCAAGAGGACAAGGGACUGUGACUCUGAUGACGAGCCCCCAGCCAAGAGGACUAGGGACAGUGAAGCUGAAGAGGAGCUCUCCUCCAAGAGAACCAGGGACAGCGAUGAUGUUGAAGAGGAGCCUCCAGCCAAGAGGACAAGGGACAGUGUUUCUGAAGAGGAACCCUCUGCCAAAAGCACCGAGGAGCAUCAACCUAGAGAUGAGCUCCCGUCCAAGAGGAACAGGGACAGUGGUGCUGAAGAGGAGAUCCCUGCCAAGAGGUCCCGGAAGAGUGAUGAUGAAGAGGAACCUGUUCUCAGUCCCUCCACAAAUGUGUUGUGUGAGGAUUCUUUUCAGUCAUCCCCUGUCUGCAGUCCCUCGCCCAUGUCAUUGUGGGGGGAUCACCUAUUUUCACCCUUUGGUCUUUCACCUAUGAGUGGAUGUGAGGAUCCCAUUCUGUCCUCCCCUGUCUUCAGUCCCUCUCCAAGAUGACCUUGUGAAGGUCCCAUAGUGUCUGUUUAUACCAUCAGUCCCCCAAUCAGUGAAGAUCCUAUUUUGUCAUCCCCCGUCCUCAGUCGUCCACCAAGCACACCGUGUGAGGAUCCUAUUGUGUCUUCCCCUGUCGUGAGUACUUCCUCCACAACAUACUGCAAAAUUCCAAGUGCAAGAUUCCCUUGCUUUUGUGUCUGGAUGAAAUCUCAAAUGGACAGAGAAGAGGAACCAAUACCCUCAACUUCUGGAAUUGGAUCUGACGGAAUUAGAGGAAGAGAGAGUUCCAGACAAGAGUGGUUUAGACCUCACUACGACCUGUCAAGUGAUGACUCUGAUUAGAUUGGGAUCGUAAAAAACUGAAGACCUACCAGAGAAGACCCAUUAGGAUACUGUAAUUUCCAUGUUGUUUUUGUUAAAGCCAAUGGCUUUCUAGCAGGACCGAGGAUGCCUUAGGUAGCGUCUUGCACCGGGGCUUUUCUUUAUCCCGCUGCUAGAUGUUUUAUUUUAGAUGUUAAGGAUUCUGGCAGGACAGGCAAUGCUGACUUUUUUGCUGUUAAUGAAUGUAUGACUAAAUGCUCUAGGAUGCUAAUCUAAAUUUUUGAGAUACAAGACCAUACUGCUAAACAAAAAACACUAAAAGUAGUCGGACAUGGACGGUGCAUAAAAGAUAAACGCUAAAAGGAAUAAGACAACGCUACAGGAUUAAUAUUAAAUCUAAAACAAUCUUGCUGGGUAAAAAUCAAACCUCAAAACUAUAAAGACAACGCGGCUCAGGACACUGGAAUCAAUACGAUUGAGAAACACUGCUGCAAAUUAAACUCUAAAAUUUAAACAAUAUUUCUGACAGUUCUAAUUUUUAAGACAUAAAAACAUACAAAUGGAGACACAUUAUAAUCGGUUGAGCUCUGGUGUAAACGGAUUGAAACAGCGGUUUUAAAGUUACAAUCAUUCUGGUCUGGACUUUAUAAAAACCACAGGGAGUGAAACGUUUUGAAGUAUGAAAUAACAACGACAGCGACAGUAAAAACAGGAGUUAAUUCAAAUGUUCAAAGAUGAAAGAGGAAGAGAGAAAUAGGCAGGACCUUUGGACCCGGAUAUGAACUGUUGAUCCACGGAUCAAUCAUUUGGUGGCUGGAUUCCAAAACCCUCAACACCACAUGUUAAAAUGAGCAAGACAUUUAAACUCAGGUGAUAAUAAUGGUUUUAAAAGUAGGUAAUGCUGCUGGGUGUCAAACCUAAAAUCUCUUAAGACUGAGAAGAGACAACGCUUUUCUGGACAAAUUCAUUUCUCUAAGGAUGGAGACAACGCUUCUCAAGUAGGGAGAAAUAUUCAUCUUUUAGGACUAAUAUGAUGUCACGGUGGACAAAUUAAAAUGUAGAAGAAUUUAAACAUCCCGCGGAGUACAAAUUAAAAUCUUUAAGGAUAAAAGACAAAGACAGGAAUAAAUGCCAAGUUUCAGGGUGUAAUAGCGGUGCUUCCCCACACGGUGCUUCUAAUAUAGUCAACUGUUCUCACCUGGUCCUUCAUUAAUCCAGUCUCCCAGUUUGAAUCUUUCAAGUUUUAGCUGCUCAUCGUUGGAUUCUUUCCUGGUUCUCCAUGUGGUUCCUGUCCUCCUGGUUCCUGUUUGUUGGAUCUCCUGAGCCUGGAAUCCUCCACCUUCAACACCGUCAGUCAGGUGGAGGAAGAUAAGAGAACCCAGUUGACGAAAAAAAGUAAGAACAUUUCUAUCUACUCAACAUAACUAAACAUUUCAGAUGGAGCUGCGUAGAGUUGAGCUGAAAGUUCCAAACUGGUUCUGUCUGCUGUCCAUGAUUAUUUUCCUCUUUAACUCUCUUGUCUUUUCUCUUGAUUUCAUUUCUCUGUCAACUCAUGUCACAUGACUUGAGUUGACCAACAAAUAAAGCAGAAGACCUGCUCCACCUGCUGUUCUACUGGUUGGAAGAGAUUGUGGAAAAGCAUCAGCGAGACAAGACAACAACUCUGGACCAAUGAGGAGAGAGAAGACACAGAGGACUGAGGAGACACAGAAAAUCCUGCUGGAAAUCCAUAAAAAAUGUUUCCUGAUGGACCAGGGGGAUAGCUGAGGACAGGACAGCAUGAAGAGACAGAGAUCAUGUGAAAUUCAAGGAUGACCUUUCAACCCUGGAUUUCAUUUCUGCUUUGAAGCUUCAAGUGUGGAAAAGUUGAUGAGAGGAAAUCUUUGAGGUUCAGCUCAGUGAACAGGGCAGCACCAGACGACAAGAAGAAACCAGACUGCUAGGAUUCUCCUUGAGACGGACCAAACCUCGCUUUCCUGUUCAAACACUGACAAAAUACCAAAGCCCAAGACAAACCAUCAGUUUCUAAAAAGACAUGAACUUUGGGAUACAAAACUCUUUGGACUUUAUUGACUUCAAAUAAAGAAUCACAAAACACAAAUGUGGAUGUUAACUUGUGAAACCUGCUCUGUCAAAGUUCUGACUCUGCUGCGUUGGGGUUGUUUGACACCUUUAAGUUUUAGACUCUCAUUUAUUUCCAAGUCCACCAUGUUUUCCAGUCUUAUGUAGUUUUCCACAUAGGAUUCCCAAGUCAGUGGAUCCAUGGGGCCACUGUCUCUGGAGGCCCUCAGACUGUCCCUAAAGACGGUCAUGGACACAUUGACUGCUGUUUGACUCGGUCAUAAACUGUCCCAAUUCCUCCUGGGAGUCUGGGAACCCACAGUCUGUUCUGCCAAACCCAGGAGUAAAAUAUGCACAGGACACAUAGUUUAGUUCUAUAUUUAUAUUUCUACAUUCAACUGUCACUACCAGCUGCUAUGACUAUUGUUGAAAACUGUUGUAAUGCUUAAUUGUAUUUAUAUGUAAAUAUUAGAAAUGAACAUUUUUAUGUCAUCAGAAACUGUUACAAUAAAAAGUGAUAUACU